GUACAGCACUGCCUAUGAGGCAUAGAGGAGUCUCACAUGAAGGCCGCCUGCAUCCUGGGGGAGUUCCUGAAGCUGCUGCCCAUGUUUCUCACAGGGAGGCCAGGGAAGAUCAGCCCCAUUCUGUACACAGGCAAGCCGUGAACUGAGGACUUCCCUUUCAGGCCUUCCCAACGGGGCAGGAUGGAAGUGAGAGCCCCACUAGUCUCCCCUUAACCUGGAGUCCCCCCCUAUCCACAGCUCGCUCAUUGGAGGGGACACAGUGGGCACCCAGGCCUCAAGGUAAUUGGGGAGGGACAGUCCCAAGGCCUCACCUGGCCCUGGUCCUGGCUCUGCACAAAGGCAAUAAGAGAGGGAUGGUGCUAAGAAGGAUGACGUGCUGCUGUGGAAGAUGCUGGACUGAAAUUCAGGAGGCCAAAGAUGCAGUGGUCUCAUAGGAGUGGCUGGAAGUUGCAGAGGUUUCAGAAGCUCACCCAAGAUGCUGGAGCCCCCAUCUCCAGCCCUAAUGCUGUCCGCCUUUUCACCCAGCCACCGCCUGUUUCAGGAGAGCACACAGAAGUGAUGACCUUUUCUGGACAG